rnacentral:rRNA from 1 species
GAUUGGUGCUUGCAUCAUGAUUUACAUUUGAGUGAGUGGCGAACUGGUGAGUAACACGUGGGAAACCUGCCCAGAAGCGGGGGAUAACACCUGGAAACAGAUGCUAAUACCGCAUAACAACUUGGACCGCAUGGUCCGAGAUUGAAAGAUGGCUUCGGCUAUCACUUUUGGAUGGUCCCGCGGCGUAUUAGCUAGAUGGUGGGGUAACGGCUCACCAUGGCAAUGAUACGUAGCCGACCUGAGAGGGUAAUCGGCCACAUUGGGACUGAGACACGGCCCAAACUCCUACGGGAGGCAGCAGUAGGGAAUCUUCCACAAUGGACGAAAGUCUGAUGGAGCAACGCCGCGUGAGUGAAGAAGGGUUUCGGCUCGUAAAACUCUGUUGUUAAAGAAGAACAUAUCUGAGAGUAACUGUUCAGGUAUUGACGGUAUUUAACCAGAAAGCCACGGCUAACUACGUGCCAGCAGCCGCGGUAAUACGUAGGUGGCAAGCGUUGUCCGGAUUUAUUGGGCGUAAAGCGAGCGCAGGCGUUUUUUAAGUCUGAUGUGAAAGCCUUCGGCUCAACCGAAGAAGUGCAUCGGAAACUGGGAAACUUGAGUGCAGAAGAGGACAGUGGAACUCCAUGUGUAGCGGUGAAAUGCGUAGAUAUAUGGAAGAACACCAGUGGCGAAGGCGGCUGUCUGGUCUGUAACUGACGCUGAGGCUCGAAAGUAUGGGUAGCAAACAGGAUUAGAUACCCUGGUAGUCCAUACCGUAAACGAUGAAUGCUAAGUGUUGGAGGGUUUCCGCCCUUCAGUGCUGCAGCUAACGCAUUAAGCAUUCCGCCUGGGGAGUACGGCCGCAAGGCUGAAACUCAAAGGAAUUGACGGGGGCCCGCACAAGCGGUGGAGCAUGUGGUUUAAUUCGAAGCUACGCGAAGAACCUUACCAGGUCUUGACAUACUAUGCAAAUCUAAGAGAUUAGACGUUCCCUUCGGGGACAUGGAUACAGGUGGUGCAUGGUUGUCGUCAGCUCGUGUCGUGAGAUGUUGGGUUAAGUCCCGCAACGAGCGCAACCCUUAUUAUCAGUUGCCAGCAUUAAGUUGGGCACUCU